rnacentral:rRNA from 1 species
AUUGAACGCUGGCGGCAGGCCUAACACAUGCAAGUCGAACGAGGGGCGGACGGGUGAGUAAUGUCUGGGAAACUGCCCGAUGGAGGGGGAUAACUACUGGAAACUGUAGCUAAUACCGCGUACCAUAGGAUGAGCCCACAGGGGAUUAGGUAGUUGGUGAGGUAAAGGCUCACCAAGGCGACGAUCUCUAGCUGGUCUGAGAGGAUGAACAGCCACACGGGGACUUAGGCAAGGCCCACACUCCUCCGGGAGGCAGCAGGGGGGAAUAGUGCGCAAUGGGGGCAACCCUGACGAAGCCAUGCCGCGUGAAUGAAGAAGGCCUUAGGGUUGGAAAGUGCUUUCGGUAGCGAGGCGUUAACUACAGAAGAAGCACCGGCUAACUCCGUGCCAGCAGCCGCGGUAAUAC